rnacentral:lncRNA from 1 species
UUUGACUAUGUUGAACCUAUGAGAAUUUAAUUGGACUUUUUGAAGUUUCUUUGAAUUGAAUUUGAGGUUCCAUUUGGUUUGUUUAUUUUUUUAUUUGUAUUUUCUUUUAAUGCAAAAAAUACCAAAAAAUAUCAUUGACUUCUUGACUUGUUAUCUUCAUUUCUCUUCUGUUUGGCGUUGAUUGAGGUUGAAUUGAUUCAACUUUCAUCAAAUUCAUUGGAUCUUGUGGUUUGAAAAUCC